UUGAAGAGUUUGAUCAUGGCUCAGAUUGAACGCUGGCGGCAGGCCUAACACAUGCAAGUCGAGCGGUAGCACAGAGAGCUUGCUCUCGGGUGACGAGCGGCGGACGGGUGAGUAAUGUCUGGGAAACUGCCUGAUGGAGGGGGAUAACUACUGGAAACGGUAGCUAAUACCGCAUAACGUCGCAAGACCAAAGUGGGGGACCUUCGGGCCUCAUGCCAUCAGAUGUGCCCAGAUGGGAUUAGCUAGUAGGUGGGGUAACGGCUCACCUAGGCGACGAUCCCUAGCUGGUCUGAGAGGAUGACCAGCCACACUGGAACUGAGACACGGUCCAGACUCCUACGGGAGGCAGCAGUGGGGAAUAUUGCACAAUGGGCGCAAGCCUGAUGCAGCCAUGCCGCGUGUGUGAAGAAGGCCUUCGGGUUGUAAAGCACUUUCAGCGGGGAGGAAGGCGGUAAGGUUAAUAACCUUGUCGAUUGACGUUACCCGCAGAAGAAGCACCGGCUAACUCCGUGCCAGCAGCCGCGGUAAUACGGAGGGUGCAAGCGUUAAUCGGAAUUACUGGGCGUAAAGCGCACGCAGGCGGUCUGUCAAGUCGGAUGUGAAAUCCCCGGGCUCAACCUGGGAACUGCAUUCGAAACUGGCAGGCUAGAGUCUUGUAGAGGGGGGUAGAAUUCCAGGUGUAGCGGUGAAAUGCGUAGAGAUCUGGAGGAAUACCGGUGGCGAAGGCGGCCCCCUGGACAAAGACUGACGCUCAGGUGCGAAAGCGUGGGGAGCAAACAGGAUUAGAUACCCUGGUAGUCCACGCCGUAAACGAUGUCGAUUUGGAGGUUGUGCCCUUGAGGCGUGGCUUCCGGAGCUAACGCGUUAAAUCGACCGCCUGGGGAGUACGGCCGCAAGGUUAAAACUCAAAUGAAUUGACGGGGGCCCGCACAAGCGGUGGAGCAUGUGGUUUAAUUCGAUGCAACGCGAAGAACCUUACCUGGUCUUGACAUCCACAGAACUUUCCAGAGAUGGAUUGGUGCCUUCGGGAACUGUGAGACAGGUGCUGCAUGGCUGUCGUCAGCUCGUGUUGUGAAAUGUUGGGUUAAGUCCCGCAACGAGCGCAACCCUUAUCCUUUGUUGCCAGCGGUUCGGCCGGGAACUCAAAGGAGACUGCCAGUGAUAAACUGGAGGAAGGUGGGGAUGACGUCAAGUCAUCAUGGCCCUUACGACCAGGGCUACACACGUGCUACAAUGGCAUAUACAAAGAGAAGCGACCUCGCGAGAGCAAGCGGACCUCAUAAAGUAUGUCGUAGUCCGGAUUGGAGUCUGCAACUCGACUCCAUGAAGUCGGAAUCGCUAGUAAUCGUAGAUCAGAAUGCUACGGUGAAUACGUUCCCGGGCCUUGUACACACCGCCCGUCACACCAUGGGAGUGGGUUGCAAAAGAAGUAGGUAGCUUAACCUUCGGGAGGGCGCUUACCACUUUGUGAUUCAUGACUGGGGUGAAGUCGUAACAAGGUAACCGUAGGGGAACCUGCGGUUGGAUCACCUCCUU
rnacentral:rRNA from 1 species